rnacentral:rRNA from 1 species
AUUGAACGCUGGCGGCAUGCCUUACACAUACAAGUCGAACGGCAGCACGGGGAAACCUGGUGGCGAGUGGCGAACGGGUGAGUAAUGCAUCGGAACGUACCUUUCAGUGGGGGAUAACGUAGCGAAAGUUACGCUAAUACCGCAUAUUCUGUGAGCGGGAAAGCAGGGGAUCGCAAGACCUUGCGCUGAUUGAGCGGCCGAUGUCAGAUUAGCUAGUUGGUGAGGUAAAGGCUCACCAAGGCGACGAUCGGUAGCGGGUCUGAGAGGAUGAUCCGCCACACUGGAGCUGAGAAACGGUCCAGACUCCUACGGGAGGCGGCAGUGGGGAAUUUUGGACAAUGGGGGCAACCCUGAUCCAGCCAUGCCGCGUGAGUGAAGAAGGCCUUCGGGUUGUAAAGCUCGUUCGGCCGGGAAGAAAUCGCACGGGCUAAUACCCUGUGUGGAUGACGGUACCGGAAUAAGAAGCACCGGCUAACUACGUGCCAGCCGCCGCCGUAACAC